GACGAACGCUGGCGGCGUGCUUAACACAUGCAAGUCGAACGAAGAGCGAUGGAAGCUUGCUUCUAUCAAUCUUAGUGGCGAACGGGUGAGUAACGCGCAAUCAACCUGCCCUUCAGAGGGGGACAACAGUUGGAAACGACUGCUAAUACCGCAUACGAUCUAAUCUCGGCAUCGAGGAUAGAUGAAAGGUGGCCUCUACAGGAAAGAUAUCACUGAGGGAGGGGAGUGCGUGUGAUUAGCUAGGUGGAGGGGGAACGGCCCACCAAGGCGAUGAUCAGUAGGCGGUCUGAGAGGAUGGACGGCCACAUUGGGACUGAGACACGGCCCAGACUCCUACGGGAGGCAGCAGUGGGGAAUCUUCCGCAAUGGACGAAAGUCUGACGGAGCAACGCCGCGUGAGUGAUGACGGCCUUCGGGUUGUAAAGCUCUGUUAAUCGGGACGAAAGGCCUUCUUGCGAAUAGUGAGAAGGAUUGACGGUACCGGAAUAGAAAGCCACGGCUAACUACGUG
rnacentral:rRNA from 1 species